CCUCUCUGCCUGACAGUGCUGCUCGCUGGUAGGAGGGUUCACCCGCCAAUUUAAAUACUUCAUAUAGGCUCUUUACAUGCAGGUAUAUGGGUUUGAUCCAUUGAACUGCGAAUUGAAGGUGUGCAGUACCUUCUAGAACCAGAUCCCAAAUGUGAAAAUGUGAAACAGUCCUGUACUGCAGAAGUCACUGUUAGUACCUACAGCCCCACAGCACUGUCAGCUGAUAUUUAAGCUUUUCAAACAAAGCAUUUCCAGGUCAACAAGACCUCUUCAUUUUAUGUGGUUCAAAUAUAAAUCCUAAUGGACUCUGGUUGGUACCAGCCAAGCAACCUGGUGCUGUGCAAAUGGGUAUGGAACCCGGCUGUACAGAGCUCAAACUUUAAAGAAAUUGAGGAGAAAAAACUCAGUGGGUACCUGGAGAAUUUUUUUAAAGAAAAAUGAGUUCUGCUUUGCUCAGGUGUAGGGAUGGCAUGUGGCUGGUAGUGGCACAGGGGGUGUGAUGGUGGAGGGUCCUGAAUGAGGGAAGGUUGUGGGGUCUGACUUAAAGGACAGAAGCAUAAGAAUCAGUGACAUGAAACUGAAGCAGGGAAAACGUGAGCGGAAAAUGUCUCUUUUGUACCUUCCUCUUACUUUCUGCCGAAGAUCAGGUGUUUAAUUAUUGUAUAUACUUGAAUAAUAGACGACCCCCCCAAUAAUUCAUAGAUUCAUAGAUGUAGGGUCGGAAGGAACCUUGUAGAUCGUUUAGUCUGACCCCCUGCCCUGGGCAGGAGAGAAAACUGGGCUCAAAUGACCCCAGCCAGGGGGUCAAGCCUUCUCUUAAAGACCCCCAGGGUAGGAACCAUGACUACUUCCCUUGGAAGUUGAUUCCAGAUCCUAGCCGCCCUGACAAUGAAGUAAGUACUGCCUUCUAAUGUCUAGUCUAAACCUACUCUCUAGUAACUUAUGGCCGUUAUUCCUGUUACUCUGGGAGGCGUUCGGGGGAACAAGGUCUCUCCCAAACCCUGAUGGCCCCCCCUAGUGAGUUUAUAGAUGGCCACCAGGUCCCCCCUCUGCCUUCUCUUGUGAAGGCUGAACAGGUUAAGGCCCCAUAGCCUCUCCUCGUAGGGUCUGCCCUGCUGUCCCCAGAUCAUGCGAGUGGCCCUCCUUUGGACCCUUUCAAUGCUGUUCACAUCCCUCCUGAAGUGCAGCACCCAGAACUGGAUGCAGUACUCCAGCUGCGACCUGACCAGUGUUGCAUAGAGGGGGAGGAUCACCUCCUUGGCCCUGCUUGUGUUGCAUCUGUGGAUGCACAACAAGGUACGGUUAGCCCUACUGACCGUGUUCUCGCAUUGUCAGCCCAUGUUCAUCUUGGAGUCAGUAAUGACUCCAAGAUCUUUUUCUGCUACCAUGCUUUUGAGAAGGGAGUUCCCCAGCCUAUAGGUAUGCUGCUGGUUCCUACUGCCUACGUGCAGCACCCUGCACUUGUCAGUAUUGAAUCCCAUCCUAUUUUCAUAUGCCCACCCCUGUAACCUGUCCAGGACCUGCUGUAAUCUGUCCUUCCCUUCUAGCAUGCCCACCUCACCCUAAAUCUUGGUGUUGUCUGCGAAUUUAAACAGGCUGCUCUUCACCCUCUUGUCCAAGUCACUAAUAAAGAAAUUGAACAGUGCCGGCCCAAAAACUGAGCCCUGGGGGAUCCCACUGCCCACUUCCCUCCAGGUUGAAAAUGACCCAUCCACCAUCACUCUCUGAGUGUGACCCCUCAGCCAAUUUGCAAUCCAUCUGACUGUGUAGGCAUCAAUGCCACAGUCACCUAGCUUUUUAAUGAGAACAGGGUGGGAGACAGUGUCAAAGGCCUUCCUGAAGUCCAGAAAGACUACAUCCACCGUGCCACCUGCAUCCAAUGAUUUUGUAACCUGAUUGUAGAAGGCAAUCAGGUUGGUCUGACAGGACCUGCCCCUAAUGAAACCGUGCUGGUUGCCUUUGUGCAUCAUCCUCGCUGCUGGCCCAUCAUAGAUGUGCUCCUUGAUAAUCUUCUCAAAGAGCUUCCCCAGAAUUGAAGUAAGACUAAUGGACCUAUAGUUUCCUGGGUCCUCCCUCUUCCCUUUUUUAAAGAUGGGGACCACAUCGGCCCUCUUCCAGUUAUCCGGCACCUGGCCAGAGCACCACAAGUGCUCGUAAAGCCUUGCCAGGGGCCCCACGAUGACCCCUGUCAAUUCCCUCAACACACUGGGGUGGAGAGCAUCUGGACCUGCUGAUUUGAACACGUCCAGCGCCCCCCCCAGAAGUUCUCUAACCUGGUCCUCCCCGACCUUAGGCCUGGCGAAAUUUCUCCCAAGUCCUUCCUGAAUCUCAGUCCCUGUACAAGAAAAUAGAGGCAAAGAAAUUGUUAAAGAGGUCUGCUUUCUCCUCUAGUGCGACCACCAGAUUGCCAAGCAUAUCCUGCAGGGGCCCCACAUUACCUGGGGCCUUCUUCAUUCUCCCUAUGUAUUUAAAAAAAGACUUUUUGUUAUCCUUGAUCCUUGAUUCUAGCCCUAGUUCCAUAUCUGCCUUAGCUUUCUUAACAGCCCGUCUACAGACCCGAGCGGUAGAGGUAUACUCCUCUUUGGUGAUAGCCCGUCUCUUCCACUGUGUGUACACCUCCUUUUUGGCAAUCAGGCAUUCGCGAAUGCCCUUGGUGAGCCAGGGGGGCUUUUGGGCACUCUUGCCCCCUUUGCUUCUCAUUGGGAUUGUCACCCCUUUUGCUCUUGAGUAUCAUCCCCAACUUCUUUCCCCUGCAGCCCCUUCUGCCUCUCCUUUUUGUAAGACAGGCUGAGAAAGGGGGUGACAGAGGGAUGCUGGGUGAACUAUUUAGGGCCUUGUUUGGUGGUGGUGUUUGCGAGACAUUUAAUGCUGGUGAAGAAACAGGAAUCAUUGGAAGUGGGAAAGAAAGGCACAGCUCAGUUGUGGGAGUGAAGAGGAAGUCAAAAUGUAUGCAGUAUAUUGGGUCACAAAGACAUGAUAAAGAGUCAGAGCUGAGGGGGGUCUGUGCACAAUGGGCAGUACUGUACAUCUUAUUGACAUGGGCUGCACUAACCUAUCCAUGUGGUAGGUUCCUGUUAGUAUUUGUGCCCUGUAUGGACCAUGCUCAGUGUUGGCUGCAUUUAAUCAACUUCAUAGUUGGUAUUCCAUUAUUCAGAGCAUGCUACUUUUGGCAGCAGUUUAAUGAUAGACAGUGUAUUUAGCGAGGAUUCCUUGUAUGUGAAUGUAAGAUGAUGGGCUUUUUUCCCCAUGCUGUUUGGGGGGAAAGCGUCAUUUUGUAUUCAAGUAAAUACAGUAACUUAUUGAUCAGCUUCACUUGAGAACAGCUGCUGCCUUUAAGCAGGGCAAAGAGCAUGCUGCCAGCUGGUUAGCACAGGUGAGUUGGCUGACAGCUUUCUUUCCAGGUGACAUUCAAGGUAGCAGUUAACAUGCAUAAAGCUUUAAAUGUUUUUGUCUGUUUUGUUGUGUACUGCUAGCACAUCCAUUUUAAAACAGUAGUCUCAUUAGGCUGUCAGCCUGCUUAGCUCUGUCUCAUGGCUGUCAGGCAUUUUCUGCUAUGCUGACAUUUGCGGGUCAGCCUGUCAGUAUGUGUAACACCAUGUACAAAAGCCUGCUUUAGGCACCCAGACAGCUGAGCACACCAAGGUGCUGCUGCUCAAGGAAGUGCCAUUGGGAAUGUAGGUUGUCUCAGACAUUGCUCCAUGUGUUUUUAUAGCUGAGAAACCCAUAAAGCCAGCUAUGAUAGAGAGAUCAUCUUUCAAGAGAAAAUAGUGUGCAUCUGGUGGGAUCGCUGUCAGUGCUAAUUCAGUUGCAAACAUAAAACUAUUCCUUUGUUGCUCACUGAAUGAAAUCAGGUUAUGAGACUAUUGUCCAUUCACAUUUAAAGUGCUCUUUAACAAGCUCACCUUUAUAUGAUUUCUCCUACACUGCACACACUUUGUGCUGCAUACACCCACAGCAGUCUGGGUAUGCUGUAUGCAUUAGUGGAUUUACCAGUCUGUUGAGCUUUUUUAUUUUGAUGUGUCAAAAGGACUGGGUUCAGAAGGUUUCCUUGCCCUCCCUCCAUCUCUUAGCUGGGAUAUUGGCAAGCAGAGACAUUGAACUGCCAAAGGGUGGAAGCCAGGGAACACAGAAGAGGGUUUAGCUGCAAGCUCUGAUUUGGUUGUUUCCACAUCUGGAACGCAUUUCCAUUGAACCUGGUGGGACAAAUAGGCAGGCCAGGAGGCAGUAUGUUGUCUGGACAUAGAGCCUUUCUGGAUAGAGUGGGACAGUAGCUGCUGCUAAUAAAGUGCAAAGACUUCUCCCUCCUUCUCUUGGGGGAGGAUGUAGAAACAGCAGCUCAGUGUACCUGGGAAGGAGGUUAGGCCCCACCUUCUCCCUUGCCUGGUUUAGAGAUAGGAGUAGAAGGCAAGGUAGAUAAGUCUUAUAGACUAAUUAAAUAAAACAUAUAUAGAGCGCAAGCUUUCAUGAACUCAAAUUCACUUCAUGAGAUGCUACAUCAGAGGUAGGAGGGUCAGCAGCAGCUCAUGAGGGAAUGGAUGGGCAAACAUGCUCUCCUUGCAGCAUGAGACUAGAGAAGGCCCGGGAAAAACCCAGAAAAAAUUAGGAAAAAAUUUUUUUUUCUUUUCCUUUCAAGGCCUUUUUUUGUUGUUUUUUUUUUUUACGAAAAAUUGGAAAAAUGGAACAUUUUUUGAAAAAUUAAAAAAAAUCUCUUAUGAAAUAUUUUCUUUUAGAAUGAUGAAUAAAAUGUUUAAGACAAGGUGUUUAUAUAUUGCUACCCUCUACUCCCUCAAAAUGUUUUUGAAUAAGUAUGUAAUAGGAAGACUUUUCUGUAAGACUAUCUAUACUAUCAGAUCAUUGCAAUUCCUGUACACGGAGGACGAGCAGUACAGUAUAAGUCUCAAAUGCAAGAGCAAGAUGCAUUUCUGCCCCCAGGGCACUGCCAUUUUCACAAGAGAAGGAAGAAGGAUUCAGUGCCUUCUUUGCUUGUGGACUUCCUCUAUUGUUGACUUUUGAUUUAGAGGUUGGUGGAUCUGCUCCUGUCCUCUUGACUAGGCCUCAAAGGACUGUGACUGGACACUGGCAGCAGGAUCCAUUCGUUCCUGUACAGAUUAGAAACAAGGAGCUUAUUGUCCUGCUUGCUCAAAAGCCUCAGGAGAGGAAAUAGAGCAAGUCGAAACGUUUUGGAGUUGGAAGGAACCUGCCUCCUCCUGGCCCCGUGACCUAGAGAUCCACAGAAGUGGCACACAGGAGCUGAAAGAAAGUAUACUUCUUUAUUGAAAGCAAAAUGUUACGACCAACUUCUAGCAUAUGGAAGCAUUUCUACACUGCAAGUUAUUCUGAGAACAAAAUGUGAUUUUCAAAUACUCUCAAAUAAAAUAUGCACUUCCAAAUGCUCCUAGGAUGACCAAACACAUCCUUGUAUGUAAGAAGUGUCCUGCAGACAUAAAAAAAUCCUUCAUGGGUGUAAGUGAGGGAGGUAGAUCAUGAUGAUGAAAAUGCAAGUAUCUCUUUCCAAUGUUCUUGAUCUAGAAGUCCUCCUACUGUUGCUGCUGCCUCUUCUAUAACAUCAGCAUCACAGAGGGUUGCCCAAUCAACAUCCUCAAGUAAUCAGAUAUAUACAAAAGACUCUCAAUAGCUUCAUUUGUAGACAAGAUGACACCUGAAGAUCGGGAAAUAAAUUGACCAAGCUCUUGGAAGAGCAAUAUAUUCUUCUGGGAUGCCAUUGUCAGUAACUGAAAAUGCAUACUGGCAGGAAGCUUUUAAAUUACAAAGACCAUCACACUGUUUGCCCAGCAGACAUUCUUUUGAGCAAGCCUCUUUUACAGUUGGAAUAUGAACGUGUAAUGCAAUCUGUGCAAGGAAAAAUUAAUGAAGAACUGUGUCUUCAGUGCUUACAGAUGUGCGGGGAGAAGGAAUCAUAAACUUUGUGAUAACAACACCUAAUCAGUUUUUUUACAGAAGCAUUGAAACUGGAGAGAACAGGCAUACUGCAGAGUAUAUCUCUAGUAAAAUACGUGAAGUCCUACAGAAGAUUGGGAGUGGUAAAAUAUUUGCUUUGCUGACUGACAGUACAAGUAACAUGAAAGCAGCAUAGGAGAUUGUAAUAGAUAACUAUCCACAUGUUACUGCAAUAGGAUGCGCAUCCCAUGAGCUAGACUUGCUUCUUAAUGACAUCAUGAACUUGGAUACUCUGCAAGAGAUCUAUAGAAGAGCAAAAGAAGUUAUAAAACAUAUAAAAGCUACUCAUUGUAGCUGCAGUCUUUAAGAAAAAGCAGGAAGAAAAGAAUGCAAAGAAUAAAAUAGUGACACAAACUCUGUAGUAAAACUAGAUGGGGUGGAGUGGUGAUCUCAUUUGAAAGUUUACUAAAAAACAAAGAAGCUCUUCAAGAAACAGUAGUCAUUGAGGAUCUUAAAGUACCCAGAAAUGUAAGGAACACUGUACUUGAUGAGGAUGUCUUCUAGGUUCAGCUGCAGAACUCCCCUAGAGCCAAUUUCUUCAGCAGUCAUUGCAUCUGAAUAAGACAGUGCAUUUUGUUAGACAUUCUGUACCAAAUGGCCCAAAUAAAAUCAACUGUUUUUGAGAAUCUAAGUGUAUCGCCACUUAAAAGUAUAGAAGAAAAAAAAAGAAAGACUUUAUUAA